rnacentral:lncRNA from 1 species
CUUUUGAACAGGCACACAGGAAGUGUGGCUUUACCUACGGUGGUGCUGUCUUCAAGGAAAGCCAUUCUUUUGUUGUCAUGCUAUCAGAAGCUCAGACAGAGGUGACAGAAACAGAGUGGAUUCUGCACCUUCAGAAAACAUGUUGCCCAACCAGCAAGAGCAGUCCAUCAUUGGUGCGCAGAGCCUGUACGGAUCUCCACGCCUUCACGCAGACCUCCAGAGACCCAGUGCCUCCUGUCCCCAGGAGCUGAUCCGAACAUGGGUUCAAGAAUGACCAGUCGGAAG